CAGUAGAAAUGAGUUCAUUGCCUGU
rnacentral:piRNA from 1 species